GAGAACCUGGAGAAAACAUAGACGGCGAGCACAGGAGGGAGAUGCCAACUUCACACUAACGACGUUUGCGGAAGGAAUCGGCAGCAGCGGCGCAGAGAAUCUCCCCCGUGGCCGUCCGUGUGCUACCAGGCCACAUCUUAACGUCGAAAGCCGAAAGCGUCCGCGUCUGGUCGAGGGGCCACGAGAAGAAUUGCGGCGGCCUGGCAACUAUUUUGAUGGACGUUGCCAGGGACAAAAAAAAAAACAUAAUUGCACGACCUGUACGAACUCUCCGAAAAGUUCGAGCGCGGGCAGACGCAUGGGCUGCAUUCACGCCGUCAGCUGCCUGAUGCGCGUCACAGGUCCGUCCGACUGGCUUCGGGAAGCGUGAGACCAGAACACGUCUGCGUUGGGAUAGACGUAGCUGAACGUGCAGACGGGACCGUCCUCGGACAUGACGCCUUUGGCCGCCCCGCAGCACUCUGUGGAGCAGACCAUCCAACUGGAAUCAGUGCGAGCGCUUGUGCCAAACUCAAAACAAUGAAUUGAUGAAGACUUUCCAGUUUUAAAGUAGCAGUAACAGUUUCAGUACAGUAACAUGUCUCUUCAAAAGUGCUUCCUUCGUUCUGGGUCUUUUUUUUUUUAAAGUCAUAAUCAGGACAAGCCGAAAGGAAAUGAAGAAGGUCUGUAACUGCAGUAAGUGAUUAAAUUAUACUAAAUCAAUUGUAUUUUUACAUGGUUUUACCAUCCAUAACAAGGUAUUUGAAAGUUAUUUUGAUCCUCUUGAACAUUUUGCAUGUGUCCAGAAAUCGUCCGUUCUACUUUCCCCUUGAAGAAUUCCUCUAACAUUAUAACCGGGAUUCUGUCUUUUUUUUUUUUUUUUUGAUUUUUUUUUUAAUAGAGGCUAAAGCAGUGAAUUCUUGCAGAAUAGAUUUCAUAUCAAUGUCAUAAACUGAAUAUGAGGUUCAAUUUAAAAACUAAUAAUAUUGAUGGCGAGGAGAAGAACCGCCACUGGCCCGAGGACUGGCUGGCGACCAGUCCGGUGUGUAUCCGGAUCGUGAUCAUCAGCUUUUAACUUCCAUCGAUUUCCCACUUAAAAGGCUCAUUUUAUGUUUAUGGGUUUCCAUUUCAUUCACGAGGGGAGAAAAUCCUUUAACGGCACUUACAAUUGCAACAAAACCAAUAAAUUUGGCGGCACGGGGACGACUGAUGACUAACGUUCCAAUGAUCCAGCAGUUUAGGCCACCAAAUAUGUCACUUGCAAUGAAACUUUAGAAAAUACCGAGAAGAACUCCAAAUAUUUGACCAGUUAUCAGUUCGCCUAAACGUGAAGUUAACAUACUGUCCGCACUCGCAGGAUUAUGAUUAAGAUUGAAUAUGUAUUAGGACGAAUACUAUGGAAGUAGAUUAGUGCCACCAGGAUUUGAAUUUGAAAUAUAAAGUGAUCACAUUUUCAAUAGUUGUAUUUCAGGGCAACUUUUCAAUGUUAACAAUUCAACUGGCUAAAAUUCACCGUCUGUGCCACCAGGCAGGGUUACUUCAGGUCAGAACCGAACAGCCAGCCAAUCCAGUUACAACUUUCUUAGUAUGUGAUGUCACGUGACAAAGAAAGCAGAACUGCGAUUGGCUGGGUGUUCUGCCUGGUGGCACAGACGGCGAAUUUUUCAAUUUCAACUAUUGAAAAUGUGAUCACUUUACGUUUCAAAUUGAAAUCCUGAUGGCACUAAUCUACUUCCAUAGAAUACCCAUAGCUUUUUUUUUGUGUGAAAAAUGUGCAAUUACUUCCUGAGGUGACAUGCACGCUAAAAUGACAGCGUUAUGUGACGUCACGCUCAUUCGACCCCGCCCACUAUUGCUAUUUUGAAAGUAGUCCAGGGACGCUUUGUCCAAUGCACUUCCCUGAUUAAAAGCAAUAAAAGCAUCAUAUCACGGAGGAUUUGGUCACGGUAUAUUGAUUAAUAUAUUCUUGGAGGUAUUUCAUGUGGCAUUUGAGCCAAUGUGGUAGUCGUGUAUGGCACUUGAGAGCAAAUUUCUGUCCACAAAACAAGCAAAUGUUUGCUAAUGCUAACGCGAUUUAGCAUUGGGCCUGGUUGAACCAAUGCGGCCCAUUUUCAACCUGUUGGAGAGCCAGCGAUGACGGCACGCAAAUUACCGAAAUCGUGCUCCUCGUCUGCCGCGAAAUGCACCCAAAGAAAGUCGCCGUCUCACGUUGCCGGAGACGACGAGCCACCACGAAAGUCCAUUUCCGGCAAUUACACACUUGUCAGCCCCGUGCGCAAAAGGGCGGUAUUUAUGGCGCAUUAGCACGAGCCCCGGCGAUUAAGAAGAACGUCGUGUGCGGCGGGAUUUAGCGGCGGAUUGUGCUCGGUGACCUCUGCAGACGAGACUGGUGCGGCGUCAAACUGACGAGUGAAAGAGCAAGCGAAAGAGACGAUCUCCGCUCCAGCGAAACGACGCCUAUUCACGGCUUCUUAUUCCCGAAUUCACCUGCGGGGGGCACCUUCACUCACGAUCGCGUCGACUUCAAGGGAGAUUUUGCGGUGAAAAAAAGAAAAAGAAUUAAAAAAAAUGUCUUUUGUUAUGUGUUAAAACGGUCUGUAUUACCAGAUAGUAAAAUAUUUUUAAAUGAUCUUUUUUAAAUGAUCAUCCGGCUCCAUCUAAUGCCUGAAAUGAAAAGCAGCAGUCAAAUAUUGUCAACAGUUUGUCCCCAUAAGAGUUUUUUAUAAGCCAUCGCUCUGUCCUCUUUUCUUUUUUUUCUUUUUCUUCGUUGUGACAAGCCAAUUUUUUUUUUUUUUUUCCCCCAUGAGCAAGCUUCAGGUGCAAAAUUGCCAGAUGGCAGCAACGAACACCACAGCAUCUGCCCGGCAUCCCAUAAUUUGAGAUAUUUGUGCAGUUUCAAUUGGACUCUGCGAAAAUCUGCUGCUAAUUGAUCCCAUGUAUAAAGACUUUUUUAAUUGCUUGUAAAUAAUGUAAGAUUAUGACAAAGCUUUCUUUCUUUUCCCUUUCUAUUAGACAAUGCUAUGGCCUCAUUAAUUGAAGCUCCUCCCCUGUGAUCUACAUUGUGGUUUGCCACAAG